rnacentral:rRNA from 1 species
GAUGAACGCUGGCGGCGUGCCUAAUACAUGCAAGUAGAACGCUGAAGGAGGAGCUUGCUCUUCUGGAUGAGUUGCGAACGGGUGAGUAACGCGUAGGUAACCUGCCUGGUAGCGGGGGAUAACUAUUGGAAACGAUAGCUAAUACCGCAUGACAACAGUUAUUGCAUGAUAACUGUUUAAAAGGGGCAACUGCUCCACUACCAGAUGGACCUGCGUUGUAUUAGCUAGUUGGUGAGGUAACGGCUCACCAAGGCGACGAUACAUAGCCGACCUGAGAGGGGGAUCGGCCACACUGGGACUGAGACACGGCCCAGACUCCUACGGGAGGCAGCAGUAGGGAAUCUUCGGCAAUGGACGGAAGUCUGACCAAGCAACGCCGCGUGAGUGAAGAAGGUUUUCGGAUCGUAAAGCUCUGUUGUAAGAGAAGAACGAGUGUGAGAGUGGAAAGUUCACACUGUGACGGUAUCUUACCAGAAAGGGACGGCUAACUACGUG